UGCAAGUCGAACGCGAAAGGGGAGCAAUCCCUGAGUAGAGUGGCAAACGGGUGAGUAACACGUGGGUGACCUGCCUCAGAGUGGGGGAUAACGUCCCGAAAGGGACGCUAAUACCGCAUAACAUCCUGCCUUUGGAAAGGCGGAGAUCAAAGCCGGGGAUCGCAAGACCUGGCGCUUGGAGAGGGGCCCGCGUCUGAUUAGCUAGUUGGUAGGGUAAUGGCCUACCAAGGCAACGAUCAGUAUCCGGCCUGAGAGGGCGGACGGACACACUGGGACUGAGACACGGCCCAGACUCCUACGGGAGGCAGCAGUGGGGAAUUGUUCGCAAUGGGCGCAAGCCUGACGACGCAACGCCGCGUGGAGGAUGAAGAUCUUCGGGUCGUAAACUCCUGUCGAGCGGGACGAACACUUAUCCGGUGAAUACCUGGAUAGGCUGACGGUACCGCUAAAGGAAGCCCCGGCUAACUCCGUGCCAGCAGCCGCGGUAAUACGGGGGGGGCAAGCGUUGUUCGGAAUUACUGGGCGUAAAGGGCUCGUAGGCGGCCAACUAAGUCGGACGUGAAAUCCCCAGGCUCAACCUGGGAACUGCGUCCGAUACUGGAUGGCUUGAAUCCGGGAGAGGGAUGCAGAAUUCCAGGUGUAGCGGUGAAAUGCGUAGAUAUCUGGAGGAAUACCGGUGGCGAAGGCGGCAUCCUGGACCGGCAUUGACGCUGAGGAGCGAAAGCCAGGGGAGCAAACGGGAUUAGAUACCCCGGUAGUCCUGGCCCUAAACGAUGAAUGCUUGGUGUAACGGGUAUCGAUCCCUGUUGUGCCGAAGCUAACG
rnacentral:rRNA from 1 species